AAUUCGAUAGUGAUUUUCUAAUAAAGUCAAGGGGAUUUUUUCAGGAUUGAAAAUAAUGGGAAUCAGUUCUGUGAAGCAAUAAGUGUGUCGUUGACCCAGUUGAACAAACUGGGAUGCACAAGAGCAGAUUCCCAGAAGGUUUGUGUUUGUCCAGCUAACCAAGGGUUAGAUGUAUUCCUGACAGCUACAGAACAGGUAAGGACAUGAGGUACAUCAUAGUAACAAUCUGGGUAUUGUUUUUGCUGAAAGGUAUUCUAUUCAGCCACUUCACAAUUAUUUUGAUAACCAAUGAAACAGAUGUGCCAAAAUGUCUGACUUCAGUGAAGUGUUUGAAAAUCAGUGGCAGUGUGUGUGUGUGUGUGUGUGUGUGUUUGUGUGCAUGUCUGCAUGCAAACACGCAGUUGUAGAUGAUAGUGUAUAUUAAUGAAUUAUAUACUGAGUGAUGUCUUGCUUCUAUGUUUUGGAAUGCAGUUUUAUCAGUAGUUUUCAAUCUGUGAGGUCUAUGUUUUACAUGAAUGUCUUGUUUAUGGCAUUAUUGCAGUACAGUAUGUCUGUAGAAGUAGCUGCGGCUGCUCCUGUGGCUGCUCCUGCGGCCUUAAGUAGCUGCCCUACUUACAGAGGAAAUGCAUAAGUGACAUCAAUCAGGUCGCUGCUCCUCUGGGAGAUGCGAUUAAAAAACUAAAAUCACAAGCAUGAAGAAUCUGGGAUAUCAUAAAUCAUAUUUUACAUUCCCACCCCUUUCUUCACCGGGGCGGGGGGGGGGGGGGGAGGGUAUGGACCGCCACCGUUGUCUGAUGUCCCCUGAUCCCACUCGGCUAGACACCCCCAUGGAAUGCGCCCGGCAUUCUGGGGCUUUGGAUUUAAUGAGAGCCCCGCUAUGCAUGGCGUACAGGGCUCAGCCGUGCAAUGGCGCAUUCGAGAAACGGCGGAGGCUUUCUGAGACGGAGCGCCGGCUGCCUCUCUAGCGAGAGAUGAAGGUUUAGUAAGCGGAAUACUGCCGAGAGAUGACACUGCUAAAAUUAACAUGCUGUCUGGUGAGCGGCGGGGUAAAAAUAGACGGCGGAGAGGAGGCGUGUUUGCGCGCAUCGUUAGCGGCCGUGCGCCGCUUCGAGGGCGACGCAGUAAAAAGAUCGCCUGCGCGCUUCUCGUCUGCAGGUACUUGUUGGAGUCGCAGUUCUUAACACCAAACUGCCGCUGUGCAGAGCAGCAGCAUUUAGGUUUUCACUGGAACUACUGAUAAACGGCACAACAUGGGCCUCGGCUGCGCUGUGCUGCUCUUGAGGCUGAGCAGAUGUGUUUCAGGAAGUUUAACAUGUUACAAACUGCACUGACCGCAGUGUGUUAACACAGCCAAUGUUUGUUUGUUCUCACGUCAAAUCUACAGAGUUAUCACUGAUGAGUGUGAACCAUCUUCAUACUUGAUAAUGUAAGCCGUCUGUUAUUUUUUUUUAAAAACAGGCGUUGGUGAUUUAGAUCCCUUAUUAGCCAUUUCCUCGCAGGUAGAGGCUUGCAGAACCAAGCGGAAGCUGACUCUCCUGGUAGCCUCACUCCCACCGCCCCCCCUUCUUAAGUGCAAGUCAGGCUCGCACCUCUUUGGAGGACUAUUGUUUAUUUUUACCAGCCCUUUAAUUGCACCCUUUGAGAGUGAGACUUCUGAGGCCACGAGCUGUUAAUGAAACUUACGGAGAGUGUCUCGCAGAGGUCCCAGCUCCUGACACUUCACUGUGGGGAAACCAGCGGUGAUGUGAGGAGAACCAAAGGCGCCGCUUCAUCCCCGGGACAGAAGACGUCCCCUCUGUCCUCUGUCGGGGGCGGGGUGGCGACGCUCGGUAGGGCCAGAGCCCCUGUGGUCUGGACGCCCUGUGACGGGAGCAAGCAGCUGUUUCCCGGCGCUGCUGCAGCUUGGCGCGUCUGUCCGGAAGUUUCCGCGCAGGGUUGCCACGGUGCGCUGCUGGCGGAGCGACGGGCCGCCGCUGAGCCUGAGUCGCCAAGUGCGGCCUCCCUGAACUGCUGCUUCAGGCGCCCUGCCUGCCUUCUCCUACAAAAGCACUAAGGCCAGAGAGACAGCCAACCGCCAGAUUCCUCUGCCUCACAAUCAUGUUUAAAAACAUUUUUAGAAAUCAGAAAUUAAACCACUUGAUUUAGGAGUGAGGUCUACUUCACUCAAAAAUAGCUCAUUUGUAUUAAUGCCAUCAUAGUGCAUGGAGUGUGUAAUGCUUGGAAGCAAUGAAACAGUUCUGUUUGGGCGCCUCAUUUAAUAGUUUUUUAAUUGAAGGUUCCUUAUGUUUCAAGGUGUUGGUUUUCAUUUUGAUUUUAUUACUGUUGUUUAUUUUAUCUGGCUUCAAUGAAUUCUCACCCCUCACCCCCAGGAGCUAAAUUAGGAGCUCUUAUCUCUAAGAGGCUUACAUAUACGUAAGCCUUACGUGCCACACCACUCCACUCAUCACACGCACACGCGUAUACAAACACACUCAGAAGGGCUGGGCUCAGCAGUGCAUGCUGGGAUGGCAUCCUCCUUCAGGACCUUGCCAAGCUAAUGAGUGACAGCUGCCAAUGCAAAGACGAGAAGGAUGCCAGCGUUCCUACUCCUGUUGAGCCUCGUUCAGAUACCAGCCACCCACUGCACUGCGAACAGCAAUACCAAACGAUCAAAGUUCCGAUUCAUUUCCCCAUGACUUACAAUAAACCAUGAAGGGAAGGGGAGUGACAUAAUCUAUCGAAGGCAUAUUAGCUGAACCACUUCCUUCCCACCCUACUGCAGCCCUUGUUGUUGCUUUUGUAUGCGCUGCUUGCGCUGACAUCUGCUUAAACUCACACAUUUACAGUAAGUACUUCUCACAAGCAAUUCAAAUAAAUGAACUCCAAUUAUUCAGUUCUUUAAAAAAAAAAAAAAAAAGGAAG